CAUGUCCUCAAGUCCAUUCUCUACAUCUGAGUCUUUAUUCCUGUCAAAAGCAGGUAGAACUUGAAGGUAACUGAGAUUAAGUGAAUUUGAGAUUAAAUAGUGUUAUAUAAUCAAUCAGCUGAUUCCAUGCAUAUUUUAUGAAGAAUUUAAAAGUGAAAAACUUUCAUAUGGUGAAAUAAAUUUUUCCUUGUAUCUGAUGUAAGAAAUGUGAUUUUUAAGAGUGUUACUUUAAUAAUUAAUUCCUGAACAAAUAAAAACUAGUGUAAAAAUAAUCAUGGGCUAUAUCUGUUAGGUCAGCUAAAUAAGAAUCGUAACUCCUAGGUUUCAUCUCGGCCUUUUAAGGUUUCUGGGGUGCUUUGGGUUCUUUUACGUAGGUGGAUUUAACCAUUCCCCUUUUCUAAGAAGUUUCUUCCUCUCUGUUGGUAGGUGUCUGAUGAUUUGUGGGCACCAAAUGGCUAUUCUGUGGAGUCAUCUCUCCUUGCCUUUGAAUUAGUUUUCCCUUGGCCAUGAGUCAACAUCAAUAUUUUAUACAUCCAAAUUGGGUGUGCUCUAGUGAGGUCCGCCAAGUACACUGACGAAGAUCGCCCAAAUACAUACAUGAGACAAAGAGAUGAUGUAUUUUUUUCAGCACUUAGAUGCAUCAUAAAAUGGAAACCCUCUUCCUACUUUGGAAGAAAUUUACUCAACUUGAUUACAAGUUGUAAAGAGG